UACUCCUACGGGAGGCUGCAGUAGGGAAUCUUCCGCAAUGGGCGAAAGCCUGACGGAGCAACGCCGCGUGAGUGAUGAAGGUCUUCGGAUCGUAAAACUCUGUUAUUAGGGAAGAACAUAUGUGUAAGUAACUGUGCACAUCUUGACGGUACCUAAUCAGAAAGCCACGGCUAACUACGUGCCAGCAGCCGCGGUAAUACGUAGGUGGCAAGCGUUAUCCGGAAUUAUUGGGCGUAAAGCGCGCGUAGGCGGUUUUUUAAGUCUGAUGUGAAAGCCCACGGCUCAACCGUGGAGGGUCAUUGGAAACUGGAAAACUUGAGUGCAGAAGAGGAAAGUGGAAUUCCAUGUGUAGCGGUGAAAUGCGCAGAGAUAUGGAGGAACACCAGUGGCGAAGGCGACUUUCUGGUCUGUAACUGACGCUGAUGUGCGAAAGCGUGGGGAUCAAACAGGAUUAGAUACCCUGGUAGUCCACGCCGUAAACGAUGAGUGCUAAGUGUUAGGGGGUUUCCGCCCCUUAGUGCUGCAGCUAACGCAUUAAGCACUCCGCCUGGGGAGUACGACCGCAAGGUUGAAACUCAAAGGAAUUGACGGA
rnacentral:rRNA from 1 species